GUGCUCGCUUCGGCAGCACAUAUAUUAAAAUUGGAACGAUACAGAAAAGAUUACCAUGGCCCAUGCACAAGAAUGAGACGCAAAUUCAUGGAGCAUUUCAUAUUUUA